UGGAGGUUCCCUUUCUUUCAUCUCAGAUCUUAAAAAAGGUUGGGAAGCCUGGACGGUCGAAAGUAACUUCGUGACAGCAAUAAUCAUUCUCUCCAGCAGCCUGAAACAGUUGGGUGAUCUCAGAGUCGAUUCCCGAGCCCGACUACAACACGAGAGCUAAGUGGCGCAAAAAGCGAAUGCGUAGGCUGAAGCGAAAGCGCAGGAAGAUGCGCGCCCGUUCAAAGUAGAUUCUUUACACUUCUGAGGAGCGGAAGAAAUCGGCACUUGAUUCGUUGAGGUAGUUUUCAGUUAAUUGAAAUACUUUACCACACGAUCUGCAAUCAAAUAUAAUCUCUGUGAAAUAGUAUGAUUAUUGUAAUCAUGUAAACAUGUUGCAAUAGAUUUCUUUGCUUUGAA